AGAAAUCGAGUUCAUGUUUUAGAAAGAAAAGACGAGCACUUAGACUUGAUUUCACUUAAAUAUUGGCUUUACACCAACAAGGGGUAUGAAGAAGAAAAACAAAGAGUUUUUAGCCUCACGUAAAUACUGGAUUCAUUAUCAUGGCUACAAAUAUCCGAAUACGCUAUUAAAAAGUAAUUAUUUAUUCUAAUAAUAAACCUAAUGUCUCUCACUUUUUCCAACAAUCUAAGAAUGUGAAUUCCCAAAAUUUCGGAGUUCUCUUAGCUUUCUAUAGCCUAGUUCAUGAGUCCCAUAUCCUAACUCAGGACUCGUUACCCUAUUUUCUCUCUAGCUCUGAAAACUCAUUUUAUUCUUGCAACACAUGUACAACUCCUAACCUAAUAAUAUAGUAUCAAUAACAGUCUCAAAUGUUAUCGCACAAUGAGAACAGAUAACUCCACGAUGUGUUAAGCUCAACACAAUGAAUAUUAAUUCAGAAGUUACAGGGUGCAGAAAUGGUGUUGUAUUAACGACACCGACUUGAAUUGGAAUCUUUUGAUUAGUGACAAAUUAUAGAAGUGCUGUUGGCUUGGAAAGAGUACUGGGUCAUGUAAGAUGCAAUGGGUCAGUGAGAUGCUCAUGGAAGUUAUAGAUUUAACCAGGGAUUUGCAUAAACUUGAUGAUGUAUGACGCUCUGUUUGAUUGAUUAAAUCCACUCCAGAGUGAUAACUUGCCUGUUGGAGACACAGGCUACUAUCAAACACAACAGGUUUUAUUGGACAUAAUAACCGAAGUUAAUUGCUGCAUAACUGUCAGAAAAGUAAGGUGUGCAUCAUUCCGAAGAUAAUACCAGUAGAAAACAAUGUCUGGAAACGCAGCUAGAGAGCAGAACUUGGAACCUGGCUGCUCCGAACUGCUCAAGUGAGUCCAAGAUGACUAGCCCAAGUC
rnacentral:lncRNA from 1 species